rnacentral:rRNA from 1 species
UGGGGAAUUUUGGACAAUGGGCGAAAGCCUGAUCCAGCAAUGCCGCGUGUGUGAAGAAGGCCUUCGGGUUGUAAAGCACUUUUGUCCGGAAAGAAAUCCUUGGCUCUAAUACAGCCGGGGGAUGACGGUACCGGAAGAAUAAGCACCGGCUAACUACGUGCCAGCAGCCGCGGUAAUACGUAGGGUGCAAGCGUUAAUCGGAAUUACUGGGCGUAAAGCGUGCGCAGGCGGUUUGCUAAGACCGAUGUGAAAUCCCCGGGCUCAACCUGGGAACUGCAUUGGUGACUGGCAGGCUAGAGUAUGGCAGAGGGGGGUAGAAUUCCACGUGUAGCAGUGAAAGUGCGUAGAGAUGUGGAGGAAUACCGAUGGCGAAGGCAGCCCCCUGGGCCAAUACUGACGCUCAUGCACGAAAGCGUGGGGAGCAAACAGGAUUAGAUACCCUGGUAGUCCACGCCCUAAACGAUGUCAACUAGUUGUUGGGGAUUCAUUUCCUUAGUAACGUAGCUAACGCGUGAAGUUGACCGCCUGGGGAGUACGGUCGCAAGAUUAAAACUUAAAUGAAUUGAC